rnacentral:piRNA from 1 species
GAAGCUUCUGAAACCAGGCUGCCUGAGCCUA